UUUUAUUCUCAGAUAACUGUUUAUGGCCUUUCUUGUCACUGCUUGUUCUUUGAAAGGACAACCAUUCUCAAGUGGCUUCAGACUUUCAUCUACUGCUGUUUGUCCCUCCUUAUGAUAAGAGCUAACUGCGAAAUUGUCUGUUUCUGGGAAAUAGAGAGUCAAAGUACGAUUACUGAUUUGUAGCCAUUGGUUAGCUCUCCUCAGAGGGAGGGACCAACAGCAGCAGAUAAGAACCUUAAGACACUGACAUGCACUCAGUGCGCAGUGAGUGAAGAACACACACCAAGGGGAAAAAAAUAGGACACAACAAUUGGCGACGAGGUGUGGAUUCGUUUACGAACGAACGGGAAGCAAGAGGUACCAGCAGCAACUAGCGAUAGCAACGUGGUCAAGCAAUGGCGGUUUUCAGCAGUCAGUCGGGUUUGUGCUUUAAUGAGGCUGACGAAAGCUUCACCACAUACGAAGAACGUUUUGCACAAUUUAUAGAAGCCAAUGGAAUAGAAGAAGGGAAACAACGGGCCGUUUUCCUAUCCGUGGUAGGUGCAAAGACUUUCUCGUUACUGACCGACUUGGUAGCACCGACGAAGCCAUCUGAAACCCCACUAGCAGACCUUUUGAAAGUAUUGAGAGAUUUUUAUGUAGGCCUACCGAAGAAAAAUGUCUUAAGUGAACGUAGUUUCCGUGCACGCAAGCAACUAAGUGGAGAGUCUCCAGCAGAAUAUGUAGCCGCGCUAGAGGGGCUAGCAGCCUCGUGCGAGUUUGGCCUAAAGCGAGAAGAACAAUUAAGGGAUCAGCUAGUUUAUGGCAUUAGUAGUGAGGAGCUACGUACUAAGCUGGUAAGUGCUGCACGCGGAGAACAGUUAAACUGGGCAAAAGUGGUGGACAUUGUGAAUAAUUUCAAGUGCACAACUACAAGUUUGAGAACGUCCCAGCAAACCCCGCUGAGAACAGACAGUGUGAGUAGUCACAAGGGUAAAGCGUGUGCUCGCGGGACCGCAGUGAAGGCACACGACAGAAAAGGAAUUCUGGGCGCCAGAGAAACAACGUUCAACAGACGCCUUGGAGAGGGGCAUGCAGCGGCAACAUACAAGGACAGAAAUCCCCGGUGCCAAGCCUGCAACAAGGAAGGACAUGUGGAGCGAGCGUGUAGGACUGCACCAGCGAGGGAGACAGCCAACCAGGGCGGCAGCUCCGGCAAACCUCUGGCAUUCAGGAAAAGUGCUACUGCAAAGCAAGAGACCCGCUACAUGGCGAGGGAACCAGCCAGCAUGGGACCACGUGCUACAGCGUUAAGGCACCAGUCAGCCCAUACUAAUAGAGAGUCUGCGACAAAGGGGCGACAUAGGUCAGGAGAUUCCAGAAGACCUCCAGGAAGCUCAUCCCAAACGUAUCUAGAGGAACCUAAGAAAGAUGACAGGAUCCAAAGAGCAAACAAAAUUAAAAAUUAUCAAGAAAUCUACACUCUGCUCUCACCUGGUGAUCUUGCAAUUUACAAACUUAACCUGAAGUCAACAGGAAAUGAUCAGUUCUGCAUAAAGGACUUUGGAAGAUCAGUAUUACGGAAGCCGAAUAAAACAAUCAUGCUUCUUGGUGCCACUGGAUCAGGCAAGACCACCCUCAUCAAUGGCAUGAUCAACUACAUCCUGGGAGUGGAGUGGGAGGAUGAAUGGAGAUUCAAACUGAUAGAUGAAGUGACCAGUAAGACACAAGCAGAGAGUCAGACUUCAGAGGUCACAGCCUAUCAGAUUCACCACAAUGAGGACUUUAAAGUUCCUUACUCUUUCACCAUCAUAGACACCCCAGGGUUUGGAGACACCAGAGGCAUUACACAAGACAAAGAGAUCACUGAGAAAAUCAGACAGUUCUUCACCCAACAAGGUGGCAUUACCAGCAUUGAUGCUGUGUGCUUUGUAGUGCAGUCAGCUUUAGCUCGACUUACACACACACAGAAAUACAUCUUUGAAGCUGUUCUUUCUAUCUUUGGUAAGGAUAUAGCAUCCAACAUCAUUUCUAUGAUCACCUUUGCUGAUGGACAGACACCCCCAGUGUUGGAAGCCAUCGGAGCUGCUGAGAUCCCAUGUGCCACAAAAGAAGAUGGGUCCCUUCUUCAUUUCAAAUUCAACAACUCUGCCCUUUAUGCCCCAAAUAAACAAGCAGAUGAUGAGGAAGGCAGUUUUGACCAGAUGUUCUGGAAAAUGGGAGAAGGAAGCAUGAAGAGAUUCUUCAACAAUUUAAACACAAUGGAGACCCAGAGCCUGCUGCUGACUAAAGAAGUGCUCGCUGAGCGCAGACAGCUGGAGGCCACUGUAGCAGGAGUGCAGCCACUGAUCCAAAUGGGCCUCGCAAAACUUAAUGAAAUACAAGAAACAAGAGAAGCACUGCACCAGCAUCAGAGUGCCAUUGAUGCAAACAAGGAUUUCACAUAUGAGGUUGAAAUUUCAGUGCCAAUUAAGGUGGAGUUACCACUAAGAGUCCAUGUAACCAACUGCCUUACAUGCAACUACACCUGCCAUGAACACUGUGGUUACGCAAAUGAUG